CACGGGGGGAGCAAGCGUUGUUCGGAAUCACUGGGCGUAAAGGGCGUGUAGGCGGUUCGGUAAGUGGAAUGUGAAAUCCCUCGGCUCACCCGAGGACCUGCAUCCCAAACUGCCGAGCUUGAGUAUGGGAGAGGAUGAGGGAAUUCCUGGUGGAGCGGUGAAAUGCGUAGAGAUAGGAAAGAACACCAACGGCAAAAGCACUCUGCAGGGCCGACACUGACACUGAGAGACGAAAGCUAGGGGAGCGAAUGGG
rnacentral:rRNA from 1 species